UACGUAGGGUGCAAGCGUUUAAUCGGAAUUACUGGGCGUAAAGCGUGCGCAGGCGGUUAUGUAAGACAGAUGUGAAAUCCCCGGGCUCAACCUGGGAACUGCAUUUGUGACUGCAUAGCUAGAGUACGGUAGAGGGGGAUGGAAUUCCGCGUGUAGCAGUGAAAUGCGUAGAUAUGCGGAGGAACACCGAUGGCGAAGGCAAUCCCCUGGACCUGUACU
rnacentral:rRNA from 1 species